AUUGAACGCUGGCGGCAGGCCUAACACAUGCAAGUCGAGCGGAGCGGCGGACGGGUGAGUAAUGCCUAGGAAUCUGCCUGGUAGUGGGGGAUAAAGUCCGGAAACGGGAGCUAAUACCGCAUACUAUCAGAUGAGCCUUGGUCGGAUGAGCUAGUUGGUGGGGUAAAGGACUACCAAGGCGACGAGCCGUAACUGGUCUGAUAGGAUGAUCAGUCACACUUGAACUGAGACACGGUCCUGAUGCCUACGGGAGGCAGCAGUGGGGAAUAUUGCACAAUGGGCGCAAGCCUGAUGCAGCCAUGCCGCGUUGGUGAAGAAGGCCUUCGGGUUGUAAAGCACUUUCAGCGGGGAGGCGUUACCCGCAGAAGAAGCACCGGCUAACUCCGUGCCAGCAGCCGCGGUAAUAC
rnacentral:rRNA from 1 species